AAAGUCGUAACAAGGUUUCCGUAGGUGAACCUGCGGAAGGAUCAUUACAUUCAGUAGCCUAGCUACUUGUUUAUACCCUUGUUUUUAGCGUACUAUUGUUUCCUCGGUGGGCUUGCCUGCCGGUUGGACUAAACCAAAUAUAACCUUUGUAAAAUUUUCGUUCCGCAUCUGGUUAAUACAUAAUAAUUACAACUUUCAACAACGGAUCUCUUGGUUCUG
rnacentral:misc_RNA from 1 species